rnacentral:rRNA from 1 species
GAUACCCGGGUAGUCCUAGCCGUAAACGAUACUCGCUAGGUGUCGGCCACGGUGCGACCGUUGUCGGUAGCCGUAGGGAAGCCGUGAAGCGAGCCACCUGGGAAGUACGGCCGCAAAGGCUGAAACUUAAGGAAUUGGCGGGGGAGCACCACAACGGGUGGAGCUUGCGGUUUAAUUGGAUUCAACGCCGGAAACCUUACCGGGACCGACAGCAACAUGAAGGCCAGGCUGAAGACUUUGCCGGAUUAGCUG